GAUGAACCCUGGCGGCGUGCCUAAUACAUGCAAGUCGAGCGAACAGACGAGGAGCUUGCUCCUCUGACGUUAGCGGCGGACGGGUGAGUAACACGUGGAUAACCUACCUAUAAGACUGGGAUAACUUCGGGAAACCGGAGCUAAUACCGGAUAAUAUAUUGAACCGCAUGGUUCAAUAGUGAAAGACGGUUUUGCUGUCACUUAUAGAUGGAUCCGCGCCGCAUUAGCUAGUUGGUAAGGUAACGGCUUACCAAGGCGACGAUGCGUAGCCGACCUGAGAGGGUGAUCGGCCACACUGGAACUGAGACACGGUCCAGACUCCUACGGGAGGCAGCAGUAGGGAAUCUUCCGCAAUGGGCGAAAGCCUGACGGAGCAACGCCGCGUGAGUGAUGAAGGUCUUCGGAUCGUAAAACUCUGUUAUUAGGGAAGAACAAAUGUGUAAGUAACUAUGCACGUCUUGACGGUACCUAAUCAGAAAGCCACGGCUAACUACGUG
rnacentral:rRNA from 1 species